GCCAGGUGUGGUGGCGAACACCUGUAAUCCCAGCUACUCAGGAGGCUGAGGCAGGAAACUCGCUUGAACCCAGGAGGUGGAGGUUGCAGUGAGCCGAGAUCACAUCAUUGCACUCCAGCCUGGGUGACAGAGCGAGACUCUGCCUCAA
rnacentral:SRP_RNA from 1 species